rnacentral:lncRNA from 1 species
AAACAAGGCAUUUAUUUAUUCUUUUCCAAGGCACACCAAAAUGAAGCAUGGAAGCAGACAAACUUAAAAUUCGGGCAGCAGUUUUGCCAGUCUCAAGGGAUCUCAUGGAGCACAAAAAGGAAAGAAUGUAUUUUUGCCAAUCGCCACCAAGCAGAAUCAUCUUCUCUGCGCUUGCUGUUCACUGAGUUUCACCUUGAUCCUCUUGAAGGCUUGAAAGCAUUGUUGUUUAUCUGCAGCUCAGGGAAGGGAUUUUUUUUUUCUCUGAAGUUGAUUCUAAUGUACUUCAAAGAGUUGCCAUCUAUUAACAUUAUCCACUUGUCUUCCUAUGAUUCAAAAACUAUACUCACAGAAACGAAGAGCUUUCCGAAAUCUGUUCUAGCAGCAUGCUUUAGGCAAGAAAGAAGACACCGACAAUGUUACCAAUAUUCAGAAACGUGACAAAAACUAGUCCAAGAGCAUAGACUCAUACCAACCACAGUGCCCACUGUGUGUUCUCUUUCAGCCACCAGAAGGGAAAUGUUGAUGUGUCUCAACAAUGGCAUACACAGAGACACACACCUUGGAAACAAAUCUACUAUGAAUUGGCUAAAACUAGUAUCUCAAAAGGCACCCUACUGAGAGGUACUGAAGGGAAGGGUGAAGCAUGCCCACACAGAAUCAAGGCCUUAUCCAGCUUCCAAAACAGAAGAAUAAACAGUACAGUACAGCCAAGAUUCAAAGGACUGCCCACCAUGUAUGCCUGCCAGGCAAUAAUAAAAGCUGAAGUACAUCAAUAGCUUCAGGCUAGCUGAGAAUGAAGCUGACUUGAGUUCUGAUCAAGUUUGGUGGUCUCCACACAGCUCUUGCAUUACAAAAACUACCAUCUCAACUGACAGUAAUUUUACAGAGAAGUGAACCAGUGGUGAACUUCACUGGGACAGCACUGGCAGCAGCAGACACAUCACAGCAUCCUGAACUGCACCCGCUCAGGUAACAAAUAGAUCUGCUGCUGCCACUGCUGUGAGCCUAGAACUAAGUUCACCUUUUUCAAGUAGAUGCCUGCUCUGAAAACUUUGCCAUGCCCAUCAAGAAAAUUAACAUGUGAAGUGACCUUACUGUAACAUAGAAUCACAGAAUGGGUAAGGUUGGGAAGGGACCACAGUGGGUCAUCUGGUCCAACUCAGCUGCACAGGCAGGGUCAUUCCAGAGCACAUUGCACAGGACUGCAUCCAGAUGGUUCUGAAAUAUCUCCAGUGAGGGAGACUCCACAGCCUCUCUGGGCAACCUGUUCCAGUGCACAAUAACCUGUAGAGUAAAGAAAUUCUUCUUCAUGCUCAAGUGGAACUUCCUGUGCAUCAGUUUCUGCCUGUUGCCUCUCACGUCUAUUGCCUGACACUACUGAGAAGAGCCUGGACCCAUCCUUUCAACACCCUCCCUUCAGAUACUUCCAGACAUUGAUGAGGUCCCCUCUCAGUGGUCUCUUCUGAAGGCUGAACAAGGUACAGCUGCCUUCUUCAUAAGAGAGAUGCUCCAGUCCCCUUAUCCUCUAUGUCACCCUCUGCUGGGCCUGCUCCAGGAGCUCCAUAUCUCUUCUGGUACUGAGGAGCCCAGAAGUGAGCACAGCACUCCAGAUGUGGCCUCACUAGGGCUGGGUAGAGGGGCAGAAUCAUGUCCUUCGACCUACUGGCAAUGCUCUUCCCAAGGCACCCCAGUACACCAGGUGCUAUGACUUAGCAGCAGAAUGCUUUCUACAGCUAUUCCCUGAAAUACCACAUUAAAACAGGGAAACAAGCAAUCCUGUUCUACAUUAAAAAAAAAAAAAAAAAAAAAAAAAAGAUGCAUUAAACCCUAGCAAAUGUGUCACAUUUUAAGUAUUCAUCCACUGACCAACACAGCCAAGACUAAGCCAGAAUUUACAAUGUCCCAGAGAUUAUGGCUUUAAAGGUGGUUUAAUACAUCAGAGAGACACUCCAGCCCC